GGAAUAUUGGACAAUGGGCGAAAGCCUGAUCCAGCCAUGCCGCGUGUGUGAAGAAGGUCUUCGGAUUGUAAAGCACUUUAAGUUGGGAGGAAGGGCAUUUACCUAAUACGUAAGUGUUUUGACGUUACCGACAGAAUAAGCACCGGCUAACUCUGUGCCAGCAGCCGCGGUAAUACAGAGGGUGCAAGCGUUAAUCGGAAUUACUGGGCGUAAAGCGCGCGUAGGUGGUUUGUUAAGUUGAAUGUGAAAUCCCCGGGCUCAACCUGGGAACUGCAUCCAAAACUGGCAAGCUAGAGUAUGGUAGAGGGUGGUGGAAUUUCCUGUGUAGCGGUGAAAUGCGUAGAUAUAGGAAGGAACACCAGUGGCGAAGGCGACCACCUGGACUGAUACUGACACUGAGGUGCGAAAGCGUGGGGAGCAAACA
rnacentral:rRNA from 1 species